GGUAAUCUCCCACCCAUGUUUACACACUCUGUUGCUUUGGCAGGCCUGCCCUCGGGCUACCGGCCUCGGCUGGUCCGCGCCUGCCAGAGGGUCCCAAACUCGUAUUCUGUAUCGUCUGAGCACAACGCAAUAGUUAAAACUUUCAACAACGGAUCUCUUGGUUCUGGCAUCGAUGAAGAACGCAGCGAAAUGCGAUAAGUAAUGUGAAUUGCAGAAUUCAGUGAAUCAUCGAAUCUUUGAACGCACAUUGCGCCCUCUGGUAUUCCGGGGGGCAUGCCUGUUCGAGCGUCAUUACAACCCUCAGGCUCUGCUUGGUGUUGGGCGUCGCCUUCAGUGGCGCGCCUCAAAGUCAGUGGCGGUGCCGUUCGGCUCCAAGCGUAGUAACUCUUCUCGCUUCUGGGGCUCGGGCGCGCGCCUGCCAGCAACCCACACUACUCAAAGGUUGACCUCGGAUCAGGUAGG
rnacentral:rRNA from 1 species